AUGCGCUGCCGCCACUUCCUAACCCCCCUUCUCUCCCCCCUCUCAUUCGCAAACCCCCCUUCUCGCCCCCUCGCCAGCCGCGCCCGCGCCGUGGCCCAGCCGCCCGCCCAGCGCCGCGCCGCCCUCGCCGAGCCCGACGUGGGCAUCUCCCGGUUCGCCUCCUCACUCCCCGGCUUCCGCGGCGCCCUCAAGCAGCGCUACUCCGACUUCGUCGUCCACGAGGUCGCCCGCGACGGCACCCUCGUCCGCCUCACCUCCUUCGACCUCCCCGACGAGCGUGCAGAUACGGAUGACGAGGCCGACGCUGACCUCCCGCACGCACUUGAAUCGUUCCGGCUGCUCUGUGGUGACGCCGAUUGUGAGGCGUUGAGGGGAUUUCUGUCGAGGGUUUCAGAAGGUGAUAGUGAUGUCUCACCGAUCAUUCUCUCCCCUGAUGCCGACAAGGCUCAUCGCUUGGAGGUGCAUGACUUCUUCAAGAGGAACUUCAUCUUCUUGGUGACGGACACCGUUGAGCACAGCGAUGGGGUCCAGAGGUGUAUUAGGGUGCGGUUGAGGUCAGGGCCACGUGGCCGGAGGAACAGGACGGGCACAGGAAGUUCUGAACCUUCAGGCUGGAGAGAUGACAGGCCAUUUGAUAGUAGAGGAUCUGUAACCUGGCCUUAUCAUCUUGGGAAGUUUCUCAGGUUUCAUCUCUACAAAGAGAACAAGGACACCCAGGAGGCACUAAGAGUUAUAGGAAAAAUGUUAGGGCUUCAGCCACGAUCUUUUAGGAUUGCAGGGACAAAGGAUAAACGUGCUAUUACAACCCAGCAGGUAACACUUUUCAAGGUACAUGCCAGUAGGUUGGCCGCUCUAAAUAAUAAACUCACUGGCAUUAAAGUUGGAGAUUUUAAUUAUGUAAAGGAGGGCCUUGUUCUUGGUCAACUCAUGGGAAACCGAUUUACAAUUACCUUAAGGAGUGUUAUCGCAGAAUCAGAAGACAUGAUUAAGGUAGCUGUUGAUGGAUUGAUAAAAAGUGGGUUUAUCAAUUACUACGGUCUGCAGCGUUUUGGUAGUGCUUCAGUACCAACUCAUCUCGUUGGUGCUGCUUUGCUUAGAGGAGAGUGGAGAAGUGCUGUUAGCUUGAUUCUUGAUCCAAGGGAAGGAGAGUGUGAUGACAUGAAUGGGGUGAGGGAACAUUACAAGGAACAUGGUGAUAUUGAUGUGGCAAUUAGGAAUUUUCCUCGGCGUCUCAUAGCAGAGAGGGCUAUCCUUCAGCGUUUGAAGAAGUACCCUGGCAACUAUCUACAAGCACUAAUGGCUAUACCUAGAACACUGAGAUUGAUGUAUGUACAUAGUUACCAGAGUUAUCUAUGGAACCAUGCUGCGAGUAUGAGAGCUGGAAUAUAUGGUUUAUCAGGGGUCAUAGAAGGUGACUUGGUUUACAAAAAAGAAUGUCUUGGAGAAGGAAUUGUAACAGAUGCUUCAGAAAAUAAUGAUGACCACACCAACACAUCUGAAAUGGCCAUAUUUGCUGAAACACUUCCGGAAGAAACGAUCCAGUCUGUCAAGAUAGCUGAUUCUGAAGAUUUAUUGAAGGCAGUGUACACACUCGAGGAUGUUGUCCUUCCUUUGCCUGGCUCAGAAACAUUGUUUCCUGGAAAUGAAGUUGCUGGGAUUUACCAUGAAAUAGCUAACAAGGAUGGUAUUAGCCUGACAGAGAGCACCCAUGGAGUCAAGGAAUUCUCGAUUACAAGCAUGAAAGGAGGUUACCGUCGUGUAUUACAACGACCUAUUGACUGUGAAUGGGACCUCAUGACUUACACAGAUGACAAAAUACACUUAGUGGAGACUGACUUAGAUGUUCUAUCCAAAGCCAAGCCAUCUGAAGUAAAUGAACUGUUAUCUACAGGGGCGUCACAUGAUGAUUCAUUGGACACCUCUGGAGCAACCAUCCUAGCAGAGACCGAAUCUAUUGGCAGCUCAGAUCUGUUACCAGAGCUUGCCGUAAAAUUAAGUUUUACUCUACCGACAUCAUCUUAUGCUACGAUGGCUAUCAGGGAGCUGACGAAGACUUCAACUUCGGUUGAUUGUCAGAAAGCAUUAAACUCCUGA
rnacentral:rRNA from 1 species